rnacentral:rRNA from 1 species
AGAGUUUGAUCCUGGCUCAGAACGAACGCUGGCGGCAGGCUUAACACAUGCAAGUCGAACGCCCCGCAAGGGGAGUGGCAGACGGGUGAGUAACGCGUGGGAAUCUACCCAGAUCUUCGGAACAACUGAGGGAAACUUCAGCUAAUACCGGAUACGCCCUACGGGGGAAAGAUUUAUCGGUUCUGGAUGAGCCCGCGUUGGAUUAGCUAGUUGGUGAGGUAAUGGCCCACCAAGGCGACGAUCCAUAGCUGGUCUGAGAGGAUGAUCAGCCACACUGGGACUGAGACACGGCCCAGACUCCUACGGGAGGCAGCAGUGGGGAAUAUUGGACAAUGGGCGAAAGCCUGAUCCAGCCAUGCCGCGUGAGUGAUGAAGGCCUUAGGGUUGUAAAGCUCUUUCAGUAGGGAAGAUAAUGACGGUACCUACAGAAGAAGCCCCGGCUAACUUCGUGCCAGCCGCCGCGGUAAUA